AGAUUGAACGCUGGCGGCAGGCCUAACACAUGCAAGUCGAGCGGCAGCACGGGUACUUGUACCUGGUGGCGAGCGGCGGACGGGUGAGUAAUGCCUAGGAAUCUGCCUGGUAGUGGGGGAUAACGCUCGGAAACGGACGCUAAUACCGCAUACGUCCUACGGGGAGAAAGCAGGGGACCUUCGGGCCUUGCGCUAUCAGAUGAGCCUAGGUCGAUUAGCUAGUUGGUGAGGUAAUGGCUCACCGAAGGCGACGAUCCGUAACUGGUCUGAGAGGAUGAGUCAGUCACACUGGAACUGAGACCACGGUCCAGACUCCGUACGGGAGGCAGCAGGUGGGGAAUAGUUGGACAGUGGGCAAAGCCUGAUCCAGCCAUGCCG
rnacentral:rRNA from 1 species